CAGCAGCCACGGUAACACGGAGGGUGCAAGCGUUAAUCGGAAUUACUGGGCGUAAAGCGUGCGUAGGCGGUUCGUUAAGUCUGUUGUGAAAUCCCCGGGCUCAACCUGGGAAUGGCAAUGGAUACUGGCAAGCUAGAGUGUGUCAGAGGAUGGUGGAAUUCCCGGUGUAGCGGUGAAAUGCGUAGAGAUCGGGAGGAACAUCAGUGGCGAAGGCGGCCAUCUGGGACAACACUGACGCUGAGGCACGAAAGCGUGGGGAGCAAACAGGAUUAGAUACCCCCGUAGUCCCUGUCUCUUAUAU
rnacentral:rRNA from 1 species